UAGGGACAGACGGGGGCAUUCGUAUUGCGGUGUUAGAGGUGAAAUUCUUGGAUCGCCGCAAGACGAACAACUGCGAAAGCAUUUGCCAAGAAUGUUUUCAUUAAUCAAGAACGAAAGUUGGAGGUUCGAAGACGAUUAGAUACCGUCCUAGUUCCAACCAUAAACGAUGCCAACUAGCGAUUAGCUGCUGUUAUUUUUACGACACAGCUAGCAGCUUCCGGGAAACCAAAGUUUUUGGGUUCCGGGGGAAGUAUGGUUGCAAAGCUGAAACUUAAAGGAAUUGACGGAAGGGCACCACCAGGAGUGGAGCCUGCGGCUUAAUUUGACUCAACACGGGAAAUCUCACCCGGCCCGGACACUGUAAGGAUUGACAGAUUGAGAGCUCUUUCUUGAUUCGGUGGGUGGUGGUGCAUGGCCGUUCUUAGUUGGUGGAGCGAUUUGUCUGGUUAAUUCCGAUAACGAACGAGACUCUAGCCUGCUAAAUAGUACGUCGAUCUUUAGUCGGCGCGUACUUCUUAGAGGGACAAGUAGCGGUAAGCUACACGAAAUUGAGCAAUAGCAGGUCUGUGAUGCCCUUAGAUGUUCGGGGCCGCACGCGCGCUACACUGAAGGGAUAAGCGUGUUUUUCCUGCUCCGAAAGGAGUGGGCAAUCCGCUGAAACCCCUUCGUGAUUGGGAUCGGGGCUUGAAAUUAUUCUCCGUGAACGAGGAAUUCCCAGUAAGCGCGAGUCAUAAGCUCGCGUUGAUUACGUCCCUGCCCUUGUACACACCGCCCGUCGCUACUACCGAUUGAAUGGUUUAGUGAGAUCUUCGGAUUGGUCCGGAGGUGUCCGCAAGGUCGCCUCUAGGUGCCGAGAAGAUGAUCAAACUUGAUCAUUUAGAGGAAGUAAAAGUCGUAACAAGGUUUCCGU
rnacentral:rRNA from 1 species